CGUCUCGUCCUGGAUGUGAGCU
rnacentral:miRNA from 1 species